rnacentral:rRNA from 1 species
GAUGAACGCUGGCGGCGUGCCUAAUACAUGCAAGUCGAACGGGGAGUACUUACCUCGGUUUUUACUCCUAGUGGCGAACGGGUGAGUAACGCGUUGGUGACCUGCCCCGAAGAGGGGAAUAACAGUUCGAAAGGACUGCUAAUACCCCAUGUGGUCGUACUGGUUAGAGGCUGCACGACUAAAGGAGUAAUCCACUUCGGGAGGGGCCUGCGUCCCAUCAGCUAGUUGGUAAGGUAACGGCCUACCAAGGCGAUGACGGGUAGGGGACCUGAGAGGGUGGUCCCCCACACUGGCACUGAAACACGGGCCAGACACCUACGGGUGGCGGCAGUAGGGAAUAUUGCACAAUGGGCGAAAGCCUGAUGCAGCAACGCCGCGUGCGCGAAGAAGGCCUUCGGGUUGUAAAGCGCUUUUCUGGAGGAAGAGGAAGGUCGGUACUCCAGGAAUAAGGAUCGGCUAACUACGUGCCAGCAGCCGCGGUAACACGUAGGAUCCGAGCGUUAUCCGAAUUUACUGGGCGUAAAGCGCGUGUAGGCGGUCGGGUAAGUUGGACGUGAAAGCUCCUGGCUCAACUAGGAGAGGUCGUUCAAAACUGCCUGGCUAGAGGGCGACAGAGGGAGGUGGAAUUCCCGGUGUAGUGGUGAAAUGCGUAGAUAUCGGGAGGAACACAGUGGCGGAGGCGGCCUCCUGGGUCGCACCUGACGCUCAGACGCGAAAGCUAGGGUAGCAAACGGGAUUAGAUACCCCGGUAGUCCUAGCUGUAAACGAUGUGGACUUGGCGUUGGUGGGGUUAAAUCCAUCAGUGCCGUAGCUAACGCGAUAAGUCCACCGCCUGGGGACUACGGUCGCAAGAUUAAAACUCAAAGGAAUUGGCGGGGGCCCGCACAAGCAGCGGAGCGUGUGGUUUAAUUCGAUGCUACACGAAGAACCUUACCCGGGUUUGACAUCCAGGUGGUAGGGAACCGAAAGGUGACCGACCCUUCGGGGAGCCUGGACAGGUGCUGCAUGGCUGUCGUCAGCUCGUGUCGUGAGAUGUCCGGUUAAGUCCGGUAACGAGCGCAACCCUUGCUGUAUGUUAUACGUGUCAUACAGGACUGCCGGUUUAGAACCGGAGGAAGGCGGGGAUGACGUCAAGUCAGCAUGGCCUUUAUAUCCGGGGCUACACACACGCUACAAUGGCCGGCACAACAGGUUGCAAAACCGCGAGGUGGAGCCAAUCCCCAAAGCUGGCCUCAGUUCAGAUUGCAGGCUGCAACUCGCCUGCAUGAAGUCGGAGUUGCUAGUAACCGCGUGUCAGCUAUAGUGCGGUGAAUACGUUCUCGGGCCUUGCACACACCGCCCGUCACGUCAUGGAAGCUGACAACACCUGAAGCCGGUAUCCCAACCGCAAGGAGGGAGCUGUCGAAGGUGGGGUUGGUGACUGGGACG